AUUGAACGCUGGCGGCAGGCCUAACACAUGCAAGUCGAACGAGUGGCGGACGGGUGAGUCAUGUCUGGGAACCUGCCUGAUGGAGGGGGCUCACUACUGGAAACGGUAGCUAAUACCGCAUACCAUCAGAUGUGCCCAGAUGGGUUGAGCUGGCUGGUGGGGUAACGGCUCACCAAGCCGACGAUCCCUAGCUGGUCUGUGAGGAUGACCGGCCGCACUGGAACUGAGAAACGGUCCAGACUCCUACGGGAGUCAGCAGUGGGGAAGAUUGCACAAUGGGCGCAAGCCGGAGGCAGCCAUGCCGCGUGUAUGAAGGAGGCCUUCGGGUUGUAAAGUACUUUCAGCGGGGAGGCGUUACCCGCAGAAGAAGCCCCGGCUAACUCCGUGCCAGCAGCCGCGGUAAUAC
rnacentral:rRNA from 1 species